UAGGGAAUCUUCCGCAAUGGACGCAAGUCUGACGGAGCAACGCCGCGUGAGUGAAGAAGGAUUUCGGUUCGUAAAACUCUGUUGUUAGAGAAGAACAGCGCAUAGAGUAACUGUUAUGCGUGUGACGGUAUCUAACCAGAAAGCCACGGCUAACUACGUGCCAGCAGCCGCGGUAAUACGUAGGUGGCAAGCGUUGUCCGGAUUUAUUGGGAGUAAAGCGAGCGCAGGCGGUCAAUUAAGUCUGAUGUGAAAGCCCCCGGCUCAACCGGGGAGGGUCAUUGGAAACUGGUUGACUUGAGUGCAGAAGAGGAGAGUGGAAUUCCAUGUGUAGCGGUGAAAUGCGUAGAUAUAUGGAGGAACACCAGUGGCGAAGGCGACUCUCUGGUCUGUAACUGACGCGGAGGCUCGAAAGCGUGGGUAGCAAACAGG
rnacentral:rRNA from 1 species